GGAGGCUUUAUGUAUGGCGAAAUUUCACUAUAUUUGUUUUGAGCGUCAUUAGCAACUGCAUCUGAGGUAACAUUUUGGCUUUUCCGGGGCUCGCCUGACAGGUAGUCUCAUCACUACUGGAGAUACUUCUGGGACAAAGAUCAGUGCGGCUUGACCUUCAAGGUAUAACUUCGAUAAACAGCGUAUGGAAAUGGUAGAUCAUUAUAUCUGUAUGCAAAAUAUACUAGAAGCUAAGAUCAGAAGAACAAUACCUUUGUCUUCUAUAAACAUAUUUGCUUGAGGAUAUUAAAGACAUUAGGACUGUCAGCAGUGACUUUCUAUAAAGUAACAGGCAGUUGGCUGGCGUCCGGGACAACAAUGACACCGUGGCUGGUUCACCUCGUCUCUGGACUUCUCUGGGUAGACGUGAUCGCCUUCUCAUCACAAGAUUUCUUCAUUAAGGACGUCCACGGACUGAAAUGCAAUCAUACCGCCUGGUUUCCAGGUUACUGGAUGAAUGGAUAUUGUCAAUCCAUUGACCACACCCAUCCCACGCCGCGGGGCGUGAUAGCUGUAGCCCUAGGGAGAAUCUUGGACUAUUUACAAUGGAAACGCUGCACAUUGAUUUAUGAUCAAU